UACGUAGGUGGCAAGCGAUACUCGGAAUCACUAGGCGUAAAGCGCAGGUAGGAGGUUUGGUAAGUCUCUUGUGAAAGCUCCCGGCUCAACUGGGAGAGGUCAAGGGAAACUACCAGGCUAGAGUGCGGUAGAGGUAGCUGGAAUUCCCGGUGUAGCGGUGAAAUGCGUAGAUAUCGGGAGGAAUACCUAUGGCGAAAGCAGGCUACUGGACCGUCACUGACUCUGAUCUGCGAAAGCUAGGGGAGCAAACAGG
rnacentral:rRNA from 1 species